UACGAAGGGGGCGAGCGUUGUUCGGAUUUACUGGGCGUAAAGGGCGCGCAGGCGGCUUUGCAAGUCGGGUGUGAAAGCCCUCGCUUAACCGAGGAAGUGCGCCCGAAACUGCAGAGCUUGAGUACCGGAGAGGAUGGCGGAAUUCCCCAAGUAGAGGUGAAAUUCGUAGAUAUGGGGAGGAACACCGGUGGCGAAGGCGGCAUCCUGGACCGGUAUUGACGCUGAGGCGCGAAAGCCAGGGGAGCAAACGGG
rnacentral:rRNA from 1 species